GGCCUGGCCCAAGCCCGGGUGGAGACCUGUGGUGGAUGACAGCUGAAUCGCCUGAAGGAGGUGAAGGCCUUCGUCACCCAGGACAUCCCACUCUAGUAUCCUUCUUCCGUGCUGGGGGAGGGUGGAGAGGGAGGGAAGCUGGGGGACUUUCCUUCCACUUAAUUUCACGGAUAGGAUGACAAGUCGAAUUGGUGGGCAGUGGCUGCCCAGAGAACUCCGAGGUGGUCUUCAUGUUGGGCAGGCAAAUGAAAUUGACUAAGGAUGCCCUCGCCAGUUCAGCCAGCGGACUGAAGGGUCCCUGGUUCCAUUAUGGGCAUGUACCUCGGUUGCAGGUUCCCUGGCCUUGGUU